GUUCGGAUGGCUUAGUGGUCAGAGCGUCUGUCUAGUAAGCAGGAGACUCGGUUUCGAAUCCCGGUCCGAUACA